GCCCAAUCACAAAACUAAUAUCUUAAUCCCCCACCAACACCGAGUACUUCUAUAAUGCUAUAGAAAAUUUUAUGUUAAAACUAGUAACAAGAAGCGAACCUUCUCUUAAAUGUGGAUGUAAAUCAGAGAGGACAGACCACUGAUAUUUAACACCCUUGAACCUAAAGUAACAACUAAUCAAGAAAACCCUACUCUAAGUAACGUUAACCUAACACAAGAACAUUUUAAGAAAGAUUAAAAGAAUAAGAAGGAACUCGGCAAAUUUUAACCUCGCCUGUUUACCAAAAACAUCGCCUCUUGGCCCCCCCCAUAAGAGGUCCAGCCUGCCCAGUGACUCUGUUUAACGGCCGCGGUAUCCUAACCGUGCGAAGGUAGCGUAAUCACUUGUUCUUUAAAUAAGGACUAGUAUGAAUGGCAUCACGAAGGUUACACUGUCUCCUUUUUCCAAUCAGUGAAACUAAUCUCCCCGUGAAGAAGCGGGAAUUAACCUAUAAGACGAGAAGACCCUAUGGAGCUUUAAACAAUACAGCAUUUACCUUACAAAUUUAUAAAAACAAACUUUACCAGGUAAAAUGACUAUUAGUUUUUGGUUGGGGUGACCGCGGAGCAUAGUCUAACCUCCUUGUUGAAAAAAUCUUAUUUUAAGCCCAGAAUUACUUAUCUAAGCAUCAACAUUUUGACAUCCAUUGACCCAAUUAUAUUGAACAACGAACCAAGUUACCCUAGGGAUAACAGCGCAAUCCACUUUAAGAGCCCAUAUCGACAGUGGGUUUACGACCUCAUGUUGGAUCAGGGUUUCCAAGUGGUGCAGCCGCUACUAAGUACGAAAGGACCGAAAAAGCAUGGCCUAUAUACCAACAAGCCACUGCUACUAAAUUAUGACAUUAACUUAACAACAUCGUAGCCCAUAAACCUGCUCAAGACAAGAGCC
rnacentral:rRNA from 1 species